rnacentral:rRNA from 1 species
AAAUGCGUUUAAAAAAGUGCAAGGAAACAAGCCCGAUCCCGUCUGAUCUCGGAAGCUAAGUAAGGUCGGGCCUAGUUAGUACUUGGAUGGGAGAUCACCUGGGAAGACCAGGUGCUGUAGGGU